GUGGGGAAUAUUGGGCAAUGGGCGCAAGCCUGACCCAGCAACGCCGCGUGAGGGAAGAAGGCUUUCGGGUUGUAAACCUCUGUCCUUGGUGACGAAAAAAAUGACGGUAGCCAAGGAGGAAGCCCCGGCUAACUACGUGCCAGCAGCCGCGGUAAUACGUAGGGGGCGAGCGUUGUCCGGAAUUACUGGGCGUAAAGGGUGCGUAGGUGGCCUUUUAAGUUGGAUGUGAAAUACCCGGGCUUAACUUGGGGGGUGCAUACAAAACUGGGAGGAUAGGGUGCAGGAGAGGAAAGCGGAAUUCCUAGUGUAGCGGUGAAAUGCGUAGAUAUUAGGAGGAACACCAGUGGCGAAGGCGGCUUUCUGGACUGUAACUGACACUGAGGCACGAAAGCGUGGGGAGCAAACAGGAUUAGAAACCCGAGUAGUCC
rnacentral:rRNA from 1 species